rnacentral:tRNA from 4 species
GCGGGAGUCGCCCAGCUUGGCCAAAGGCGUAAGGUUGAGGGCCUUAUCCCUUAGGGGUUCGUGGGUUCAAAUCCCAUCUCCCGCA